UUGAGCGGGGGACAACAUUUGGGAACGAAUGCUAAUACCGCAUAAAAACUUUAAACACAAGUUUUAAGUUUGAAAGAUGCAAUUGCAUCACUCAAAGAUGAUCCCGCGUUGUAUUAGCUAGUUGGUGAGGUAAAGGCUCACCAAGGCGAUGAUACAUAGCCGACCUGAGAGGGUGAUCGGCCACAUUGGGACUGAGACACGGCCCAAACUCCUACGGGAGGCAGCAGUAGGGAAUCUUCGGCAAUGGACGAAAGUCUGACCGAGCAACGCCGCGUGAGUGAAGAAGGUUUUCGGAUCGUAAAACUCUGUUGGUAGAGAAGAACGUUGGUGAGAGUGGAAAGCUCAUCAAGUGACGGUAACUACCCAGAAAGGGACGGCUAACUACGUGCCAGCAGCCGCGGUAAUACGUAGGUCCCGAGCGUUGUCCGGAUUUAUUGGGCGUAAAGCGAGCGCAGGUGGUUUAUUAAGUCUGGUGUAAAAGGCAGUGGCUCAACCAUUGUAUGCAUUGGAAACUGGUAGACUUGAGUGCAGGAGAGGAGAGUGGAAUUCCAUGUGUAGCGGUGAAAUGCGUAGAUAUAUGGAGGAACACCGGUGGCGAAAGCGGCUCUCUGGCCUGUAACUGACACUGAGGCUCGAAAGCGUGGGGAGCAAACAGGAUUAGAUACCCUGGUAGUCCACGCCGUAAACGAUGAGUGCUAGAUGUAGGGAGCUAUAAGUUCUCUGUAUCGCAGC
rnacentral:rRNA from 1 species